AAAAUCACUUUUUUCUUUUUUUUCCGACACGUAGCCAUCUACCGCUCAGACUCGUUAUUACUGGCAUGUAGGCAAUUUCAGUCCAUUGAAUGCCAUUCGCAGUCAGUUGAAUAGCGUGGGUGGAGAAUAACGUGUGGCUGGAGAAAAAUAUGUUGAAAUGGAUAAGAUAAUAAAAGAUAAGGAUGCUCUAAUUAUGAACCUGCAGGCUCAAUUAUUGUUCGUAAUCAGUCCAUGCAGCGAUGGAACUGAACAAUUGUGGGACUGUAUUUGGGCCGAAAAUGGGUUUGGUACGGAAACACAGAAAUGGCAUGAGUUCAACAUCAAACAUGGAUUAGAAUUUUAGCGGGGGAUCAAGUUAAGUCUGGAAGUGUUACAGGAUGGAAGAGUGAGCCUACAGUUGAAAAAACGCUGAGAGUGCAUUACCAUUAAGGUAUGAGGUAAAGUAAUAGAGUAAUGCAACUUGUCUAAU